rfam:TPA: Bos taurus chromosome 15, whole genome shotgun sequence.
UGGCUCAGAGGUUAAAGCGUCUGUCUGGAAUACAGGAGACCCGGGUUCGAUCCCUGG